CAAUGCAGCAGGUGCCAUGGUAGCCAGGGACCCAGGAUUUGCUGUCUGGAAACCUCAGUGCCAACCGCAUUUUUCUUCUUGGCUCCUUAACAUCCGAUGGAUAACUGACAAGUGCUAGUGGGGUCUGUACCCGGGGAGGAAUCCACCCACCGUGCGCUCAGCCUUCAGAAACUGCCUGAAACGCAGUCCUGGGGGAAAGUGCACACGUUGGUGGGAAGGAGGGAGGCAUAAUUUGAUGCUGAAAAACCAGCCACGUGGAAAUACGGGUUGAUUUUUUAAAACCAGCUCUCUCCCUGCAGGAAUUAAAGGACAGCGGGGAAACCUGACAAGAAAGCAGGAGAGCAGGCCAGCAGUGUGGCCCGAGACCUGCGUCCGAGGAGGUUGAAGUCAAGGACAGACAGAGCGAGCAGGCUUUAGACCAUCACCAUCACAUGCGUGCCGGGCAUUGGGCCUCCCCGCGCUCUGCCCAUUGCUCUGAAUGCUUUCAGGAGCCCCUUGGGAGGACGGGCCUGCCGCAGGAAGGCCUCGGUUCUGGCUUGUCCGAGGUUCACAUUUCCACCUCUUGGAGGACAAGGAAUGAGUUUUGCCUGUGGGAGAAGACCCGCUCGAGGGGUCUGCACUUAACAAUACAGCCCUUCCCCGAGAAUGCCCCGAUCCAAAGGCCCCCAGUUUCCCUAAUGGGUAAAAUGAUCCCAGCUGAGUCCUGGGGCCUGACGCCCAGGGCUCCAGUUUCAUGCAGGAAAUUGUUUUUGGAGAGGCAUGGCACGUGGGAAAGCUGCUGCUUUUGCAGAAUAAGUGGACUCCAAGCUAACUCUUUUUGAAUGUAAACACGUCCAUCUUGUAACAGAUGCAGCGCACAUUACGGGCUCCCCAGCGUCUGUACCCUCACCUGGGCAGGCACGGGGUGUCAGUUCUAGAUGCAAAUUAGUCGCGCUCUAUAGGAGUUGAUGAGUUUGAGGCUUACAGGAUUUAGGCAGAAAUUUUCAGCUGUGCUUGGGUACCCACCAAAAGAAUGUAUCUCCAAAAAAAAAGAAGAAACCAUGAUGCUUGUGAUAAAAAAAA